rnacentral:rRNA from 1 species
UUAGGAAUAUUGGGCAAUGGAGGAAACUCUGACCCAGCAACGCCGCGUGAAGGAAGAAGGUUUUCGGACUGUAAACUUCUGAUCUAAGGGAAAAAGAAAGUGAUGGUACCUUAGGAGAAAGCCACGGCUAACUACGUGCCAGCAGCCGCGGUAAUACGUAGGUGGCGAGCGUUGUCCGGAAUUACUGGGCGUAAAGGGAGCGUAGGUGGUGAAUUAAGUCAAAUGUGAAAGCCCGAGGCUCAACUUCGGAACUGCAUUUGAUACUGGUUUACUAGAGUACAGGAGGGGUAAGCGGAAUUUCUAGUGUAGCGGUGGAAUGCUUAGAUAUUAGGAAGAACACCAGAGGCGAAGGCGGCUUACUGGACUGCAACUGACACUGAGGCUCGAAAGCGUGGGGAGCAAACAGG